AGACCACCUUAAACUGAGAAGCAACAUAACAGGUUACAUAAUGGCAGGAAGUGUAUUCUUCUUGUCAAGAGUGAAACUUACAUGUGAUAAAGUUUUGAGGGGCACAGGGUGAAGAGAACAAGAUUAACAGGCGAGGCUGAACGAACUGACCCAGUGAGCAGAACAAAGAACCAGAGACUGGAAGUGAAGGCUGACAGAACAGCAGAGGGACUUGGAGAGCCGGGAGACACCGACACCGUGCUGCAGGGUGAUCAGCAUUAUGUCAUCAGAACUCCAGAAAUCAUCCUGACGUCACAACAGCACUGGACGGACCAAUACUACACACAGACUUUUAAUAAGUGGGCCGGUCCAGGACAGAGAGAGGAUGACAGGCAGCAGGUGACACGUGGUCACACCAGGAAACACAUGUUGCACAUGAAAACUUCACCGAACUCUUGAAUAAAGCAACAGAAAUGGGGAACGUACCAUCAGAGUGUUACAUGGGCGACAGACUGAGAUGCUGCAAGUGUCAUAAAGUCCUGCCGCCCUGUGUCUCCUUCAACAAUUUACACAAAGCUCAGAUUCAUGGACGCUUUGUGUUUGUGUUCAACGGAGGAGAGUACUACAGACCAGUGAACUGUAAUGUUGAAGAUGGUCUGUACGAGUGUGACAACUGCUUUCAUCAGCCAAUCAGGGAGCAGGAAAGAAUGAGGAGACAGGAGCAAUGGAGACAAAAUGAGGAGACACGAAGGAGAGAAGCGGAGAAACAGAAUAUGGAGGAGAUGAGAAGACAAGAGGAGAGACAGAAGAUGGAGGAGAAAAAGAGAAGACAGGAGGAGAGACAGAUGAUGGAGGAGAAAAAGAGAAGACAGGAGGAGA